rnacentral:lncRNA from 10 species
GAGUUCAAAAUGGAUUGUAAAGCAGUGGAGACAACUCGCAACAUCAAUGGCCCAGGAACUGCUAAUGAACAUACCGUGCAGUGGGGGUUCAAGAAGUUUUGCAAAAGAGAGGAGAGCCUUGAAGAUGAGGAGCGUAGCGGCCAGACAACCAGCGAUGACCACCUCGGUGGGUGGACUGAGAAGCUCCAAAGCACUUCCCAAAGCCAAACUUGCACCAAAAAAAGGUCCUGGUCACUGUCUGGUGGCCUGCUGACGGUCUGACCACCACAGCUUUCUGAAUCCCGGCAAAACCAUUACAUCUGAGAAUUGUGCUCAGCAAAUCGAUGAGAUGCACCAAAAACUGCAAAGCCUGCAGCCGGCACUGGUCAACAGAAAGGACCCAAUUCUUCUCCAGGAUAAUGCUGACCGCAGGUCCUACAACCAAUGCUUCAAAAGUUGAUCAAAUUGGGCUACAAAGUUUUGCCUCGUCUGCCAUAUUCACCUGACUUCUCACCAACAAACUACUGCUUCUUCAACCAUCUUGACAACUUUUUCCAGAGAAAACGCUUCCACAACCAGCAGCAUGC